GGUCGCUGGGUGGGCUUUGCUGCAGGUGAUUGUAGUGAGUGGCUCUGUUGCGACUGGGGUCUGGCAGGCGUAAAAAGGAACCAGAACAUUGAAGAUGAUCAUGGGAUUGAUAUCUGCAAUGGACUUGGGGAGACCUCACGAAGGUAUUCUUGAGAACUACAUCUAUUGGGGCAAGCAACUGUUGUAGAGGAAUCAGCUAUCAGUAAAGAUGUUCUGGUGCCAAACUGUAGACACAUCCAUAUCAUGAUAUGACCUCUGGCCCUACAUUUUCCUGUCACUAUGCCAGAAAAAGAAAAAAGAAGAGGAAAAAAAAGAACUAAUUUUUUUUUAAGUUAUCAGGUGACUAAAUGUUCAGAGAAAUUGAGUGCUGCUCUCCAUAAGAUAAAACAUAGUUUUAAGGUGUUUAGGGUAAUCCUUUUCUCCUUUGCUAGUGAUAGUUUAGAGGUGGUCAUGUGCUCCA